GCGGGAAUGGUGAAAUUGGUAGACACGCCAGAUUUAGGUUCUGGUGCCGUAAGGUGUGAGAGUUCAAGUCUCUCUUCCCGUACCA
rnacentral:tRNA from 3 species